AACGGUUGGUUAUUAUAACAAACAGCUUGCCGUCGUCGUCGUCGUCUCUCUCUCUCUCUCUCUCUCUCUCUCUCUUUUUCUUGGAUUGGCGCCGGAUUUCUUCCGACGAUGGCAAGGUGCCUCGUGGAUCCUCCACGCGCGAUGGCUUCCCCUCCAAUCUCUCCUUUCUCUUUUACACCCGCGCUUCAGCUAUUUCUUGGUUUGUUCCGGCUUCUCGAUUGUUUUCUUGCUGAUUGAUUCUUGAUCGGUAACGAUCUUAUUUUCUCCCUUUCUUUCCUUAUCUCUCACUCUCUCCCUAUCAAAUCCUCCAUUCCGUGAUAGGGUCCAAUUUGUUGGUCUUUAGAUUGGCGGAGUAGCUGAUGUUUUCCUUUCCUUCUUUCCUUUUUCGUUUGUGGAGGAAGCAUCGGUGGAUGAGAUGAUUAAGUUCUUGGCCAACGAGAUGAUUAAGUUCGUCCAGCAGCACGCCGAAGCCUCCAUCGCCUAUCUCCUCAGCCUCGAAACAGAAAUCCCAACCAGUAACUUUUUGGUGAAAUUGUUAUUCAUUUUCUUAUUCUAAGACAAGAUUGGGGGACAGAUUUAUGAAGUAACCUGCAUACAGAAGGCAUAGGGGAUUCUUCUGUUCGAUGAGGUCAAUGACUGAACACCGGAUUCCUGUUGCUGAGGAGAUGAAGGACUUCAACUAAAUUUCUACUAAUCAGCAUCUCAACAUAAGAGAGAGGGAGUAUGGCACUGUAACCAUCUUUCUAGAUAAGCUAGAUUUUGAGUAUCGGUAUCAACUCCCUUUUUUCUUAUGGUAGACAGAUGCUUGCAUUUGUAGUUUUGUUUGCAUGGAUAAUGUUAAGUAGGAAGUUUUAUUGCAUUAUAUGCUAUUAAUAUUAAUAAGCAUUUUCAGUGACCUCAA